rnacentral:rRNA from 1 species
CCGGCUGAAUUAAGCAUAUCAAUAAGCGGAGGAAAAGAACCCACCAGGGAUUGCCUCAGUAACGGCGAGUGAAGCGGCAACAGCUCAAUUUUAAAUCUUGACUUCGGUCCGAGUUGUAAUUUCCAGAGGGAAUUUGGAAAGCGACACUGGCCUAAGUCCCUUGGAACAGGGCGUCAUAGAGGGUGAGAAUCCCGUAUGUGGCCAGAGGUCAAUUUCAUGUCAAAUCCCUUCGACGAGUCGAGUUGUUUGGGAAUGCAGCUCAAAAUGGGUGGUAAAUUUCAUCUAAAGCUAAAUACCGGCCAGAGACCGAUAGCGCACAAGUAGAGUGAUCGAAAGAUGAAAAGCACUUUGGAAAGAGAGUUAAACAGUACGUGAAAUUGUUGAAAGGGAAGCGCUUGCCAUUAGACCGAUUCACCGGUUGCAGUCGGAGGCAACUCUGGACGUAAAGCACCGGUAUUUCGGCCAGCAUCGGUUUGGGUGGUUUGACAAAGACGCACAGAACGUGGCUCUUCGGAGUGUUAUAGCUGUGCGUGUAAUGAAAUCUCCCCGGACCGAGGACCGCGCUUCGGCUAGGAUGCUGGCGUAAUGAUGGCAAGCGACCCGUCUUGAAACACGGACCAAGGAGUCGAUCAUCUAUGCGAGUGUUUGGGUGUUAAACCCAUACGCGGAAUGAAAGUGAACGGAGGUGAGAACCGUAAAGGUGCAUCAUCGACCGAUCCUGAUGUCUUCGGAUGGAUUUGAGUAGGAGCAUAGCCGAUCGGACCCGAAAGAUGGUGAACUAUGCGUGAAUAGGGUGAAGCCAGAGGAAACUCUGGUGGAGGCUCGCAGCGGUUCUGACGUGCAAAUCGAUCGUCAAAUUUGCGCAUAGGGGCGAAAGACCGUAAGCAUUAGCCUUCAAAGUGUCUUUUUAUAUUUACUAACUGAACAUUUUAGAAUCGAACUAUCUAGUAGCUGGUUCCUGCCGAAGUUUCCCU